rnacentral:rRNA from 1 species
UAGCAUCUAUACCGUGAAACUGCGAAUGGCUCAUUAAAUCAGUUAUCGUUUAUUUGAUAGUACCUUACUACUUGGAUAACCGUGGUAAUUCUAGAGCUAAUACAUGCUAAAAACCCCGACUUCGGAAGGGGUGUAUUUAUUAGAUAAAAAACCAAUGCCCUUCGGGGCUCCUUGGUGAUUCAUAAUAACUUAACGAAUCGCAUGGCCUUGUGCCGGCGAUGGUUCAUUCAAAUUUCUGCCCUAUCAACUUUCGAUGGUAAUGUAGUGGAUUACCAUGGUUUCAACGGGUAACGGGGAAUUAGGGUUCUAUUCCGGAGAGGGAGCCUGAGAAACGGCUACCACAUCCAAGGAAGGCAGCAGGCGCGCAAAUUACCCAAUCCCGACACGGGGAGGUAGUGACAAUAAAUACUGAUACAGGGCUCUUUUGGGUCUUGUAAUUGGAAUGAGUACAAUUUAAAUCCCUUAACGAGGAACAAUUGGAGGGCAAGUCUGGUGCCAGCAGCCGCGGUAAUUCCAGCUCCAAUAGCGUAUAUUAAAGUUGUUGCAGUUAAAAAGCUCGUAGUUGAACCUUGGGCCUGGCUGGCCGGUCCGCCUCACCGCGUGCACUGGUCCGGCCGGGUCUUUCCUUCUGGGGAGCCGCAUGCCCUUCACUGGGUGUGUCGGGGAACCAGGACUUUUACUUUGAAAAAAUUAGAGUGUUCAAAGCAGGCCUAUGCUCGAAUACAUUAGCAUGGAAUAAUAGAAUAGGACGUGUGGUUCUAUUUUGUUGGUUUCUAGGACCGCCGUAAUGAUUAAUAGGGAUAGUCGGGGGCAUCAGUAUUCAAUUGUCAGAGGUGAAAUUCUUGGAUUUAUUGAAGACUAACUACUGCGAAAGCAUUUGCCAAGGAUGUUUUCAUUAAUCAGUGAACGAAAGUUAGGGGAUCGAAGACGAUCAGAUACCGUCGUAGUCUUAACCAUAAACUAUGCCGACUAGGGAUCGGGCGAUGUUAUCUUUUUGACUCGCUCGGCACCUUACGAGAAAUCAAAGUCUU